UCGUGGUAAUUUAGCACUAUUGGUCCCACCUUAUUCCAUUCCGAACUAAGAAGUGAAACGGUAGUGCUCCGAUGAUACUUGGGUUCGCCCUGGGAAAGUAGGAUUUGCCGCGAU
rnacentral:rRNA from 1 species